rnacentral:rRNA from 1 species
CGGGUGAGUAACGCGUGGGUAACCUGCCUUAUACUGGGGGAGUAACAGCCAGAAAUGACUGCUAAUACCGCAUAAGCGCACAGAACCGCAUGGUCCGGUGUGAAAAACUCCGGUGGUAUAAGAUGGACCCGCGUUGGAUUAGCUAGUUGGCAGGGCAGCGGCCUACCAAGGCGACGAUCCAUAGCCGGCCUGAGAGGGUGAACGGCCACAUUGGGACUGAGACACGGCCCAGACUCCUACGGGAGGCAGCAUG